rnacentral:rRNA from 1 species
GAUGAACGCUGGCGGCGUGCUUAACACAUGCAAGUCGAACGAUGAAGCCCAGCUUGCUGGGUGGAUUAGUGGCGAACGGGUGAGUAACAUGUGAGUAACCUGCCCCUAACUCUGGGAUAAGCCUGGGAAACUGGGUCUAAUACCGGAUAGGAGCGUCCACCGCAUGGUGGGUGUUGGAAAGAUUUAUCGGUUUUGGAUGGACUCGCGGCCUAUCAGCUUGUUGGUGAGGUAAUGGCUCACCAAGGCGACGACGGGUAGCCGGCCUGAGAGGGUGACCGGCCACACUGGGACUGAGACACGGCCCAGACUCCUACGGGAGGCAGCAGUGGGGAAUAUUGCACAAUGGGCGCAAGCCUGAUGCAGCGACGCCGCGUGAGGGAUGACGGCCUUCGGGUUGUAAACCUCUUUCAGUAGGGAAGAAGCGAAAGUGACGGUACCUGCAGAAGAAGCACCGGCUAACUACGUG